UUAAAUGGCUGCAGUAUAUUGACUGUACAAAGGUAGCAUAAUAAUUAGUUUUUUAAUUGAAAGCUGGUAUGAAUGGUUGGACGAGAAAAUAGCUGUCUCUAUUUUAAUUUUAUGGAAUUUUAUUUUUAAGUUAAAAAGCUUAAAUAAUUUUAAAAGACGAGAAGACCCUAUAGAGUUUUAUAUUUUUAUUAUGAUAAAUUUAAUAAUUUUUUUUAUUAAUAUUUUUAAAUAUUUUAUUGGGGUGAUAGUAAAAUUUAAUAAACUUUUAUUUAAAUUUAACAUAUAUUUAUGAUUGAUUGAUCCAUUUUUAUGAUUAUAAGAUUAAAUUACCUUAGGGAUAACAGCGUAAUUUUUUUGGAGAGUUCUAAUCGAUAAGAAAGUUUGCGACCUCGAUGUUGGAUUAAAUUUUAUUUUUGGUGUAGAGGCUGAAAAAUUAGGUCUGUUCGACCUUUAAAAAUUUACAUGAUCUGAGUUUAGACCGGCGUGAGCCAGGUUAGUUUCUAUCUUUAAUAAAUUUAAAUAUUUUAGUACGAAAGGACCAAAUAUUUAUUAUACUAAUUUUUUAUGAAUAUUAAUA
rnacentral:rRNA from 1 species